AUUGAACGCUGGCGGCAGGCCUAAUACAUGCAAGUCGAGCGGACGAAGGAGGCUCUUUCUUCUCUUCCGUGGCGGACGGGCGAGUAAUGCACAGGUAUCUGCCCGGUCGAUGAGGCUAACGUCACGACAGGGGCCCUGAUCCAGCACCCGUCAAGAGGGUGAAAGUCGUGGUUCUUCAGUCCACACCCUAUUUGCUGACACUUAGCCGUAUUAGCUAGUUGGUUGGGUAAGGGCCUACCAAGGCGACGAUCCGUAACUGAUCUGAGAGGCUGAUCAGUCACACUGGAACUGAGACACGGUCCAGACUCCUACGGGAGGCAGCAGUAGGGAAUAUUGGGCAAUGGGCGAAAGCCUGAUCCAGCCAUGCCGCGUGUGUGAAGAAGGUCUUCGGAUUGUAAAGCACUUUAAGUAGGGAGGAAGAGCAGUAAGUUAAUACCUUGCUGUUUUGACGUUACCAACAGAGUAAGCACCGGCUAACUUCGUG
rnacentral:rRNA from 1 species